GGUUAAGCGACUAAGCGUACACGGUGGAUGCCCUGGCAGUCAGAGGCGAUGAAGGGCGUGCUAAUCUGCGAUAAGCGCCGGUAAGGUGAUAUGAACCGUUAUAACCGGCGAUACCCGAAUGGGGAAACCCAGUGUGACUCGUCACACUAUCAUUAACUGAAUCCAUAGGUUAAUGAGGCGAACCGGGGGAACUGAAACAUCUAAGUACCCCGAGGAAAAGAAAUCAACCGAGAUUCCCCCAGUAGCGGCGAGCGAACGGGGAGGAGCCCAGAGCCUGAAUCAGCAUGUGUGUUAGUGGAAGCGUCUGGAAAGGCGCGCGAUACAGGGUGACAGCCCCGUACACAAAAGCGCAUGUGCUGUGAGCUCGAUGAGUAGGGCGGGACACGUGGUAUCCUGUCUGAAUAUGGGGGGACCAUCCUCCAAGGCUAAAUACUCCUGACUGACCGAUAGUGAACCAGUACCGUGAGGGAAAGGCGAAAAGAACCCCGGCGAGGGGAGUGAAAAAGAACCUGAAACCGUGUACGUACAAGCAGUGGGAGCACAGGUUUACCUGUGUGACUGCGUACCUUUUGUAUAAUGGGUCAGCGACUUAUAUUCUGUAGCAAGGUUAACCGAAUAGGGGAGCCGGAGGGAAACCGAGUCUUAAUUGGGCGUUAAGUUGCAGGGUAUAGACCCGAAACCCGGUGAUCUAGCCAUGGGCAGGUUGAAGGUUGGGUAACACUAACUGGAGGACCGAACCGACUAAUGUUGAAAAAUUAGCGGAUGACCUGUGGCUGGGGGUGAAAGGCCAAUCAAACCGGGAGAUAGCUGGUUCUCCCCGAAAGCUAUUUAGGUAGCGCCUCGUGAAUUCAUCUCCGGGGGUAGAGCACUGUUUCGGCUAGGGGGCCAUCCCGGCUUACCAACCCGAUGCAAACUGCGAAUACCGGAGAAUGUUAUCACGGGAGACACACGGCGGGUGCUAACGUCCGUCGUGAAGAGGGAAACAACCCAGACCGCCAGCUAAGGUCCCAAAGUCAUGGUUAAGUGGGAAACGAUGUGGGAAGGCCCAGACAGCCAGGAUGUUGGCUUAGAAGCAGCCAUCAUUUAAAGAAAGCGUAAUAGCUCACUGGUCGAGUCGGCCUGCGCGGAAGAUGUAACGGGGCUAAACCAUGCACCGAAGCUGCGGCAGCGAACGUAUCACCCAAGACAACUUUACGGAGUUGACGAUUGACGGAGCGAAGCGACGUCAAAGCGUUCAUUAAAGUCGAGUUGGCUUAGGGAUACGUUCGUUGGGUAGGGGAGCGUUCUGUAAGCCUGUGAAGGUGUGUCGUGAGGCAUGCUGGAGGUAUCAGAAGUGCGAAUGCUGACAUAAGUAACGAUAAAGCGGGUGAAAAGCCCGCUCGCCGGAAGACCAAGGGUUCCUGUCCAACGUUAAUCGGGGCAGGGUGAGUCGACCCCUAAGGCGAGGCCGAAAGGCGUAGUCGAUGGGAAACGGGUUAAUAUUCCCGUACUUGGUGUUACUGCGAAGGGGGGACGGAGAAGGCUAUGUUGGCCGGGCGACGGUUGUCCCGGUUUAAGCGUGUAGGUGUGUGUUCCAGGUAAAUCCGGUUCACUUUAACACUGAGGCGUGACGACGAGGCACUACGGUGCUGAAGCAACAAAUGCCCUGCUUCCAGGAAAAGCCUCUAAGCAUCAGGUAACACGAAAUCGUACCCCAAACCGACACAGGUGGUCAGGUAGAGAAUACCAAGGCGCUUGAGAGAACUCGGGUGAAGGAACUAGGCAAAAUGGUGCCGUAACUUCGGGAGAAGGCACGCUGACACGUAGGUGAAGUGAUUUACUCAUGGAGCUGAAGUCAGUCGAAGAUACCAGCUGGCUGCAACUGUUUAUUAAAAACACAGCACUGUGCAAACACGAAAGUGGACGUAUACGGUGUGACGCCUGCCCGGUGCCGGAAGGUUAAUUGAUGGGGUCAGCGUAAGCGAAGCUCCUGAUCGAAGCCCCGGUAAACGGCGGCCGUAACUAUAACGGUCCUAAGGUAGCGAAAUUCCUUGUCGGGUAAGUUCCGACCUGCACGAAUGGCGUAAUGAUGGCCAGGCUGUCUCCACCCGAGACUCAGUGAAAUUGAACUCGCUGUGAAGAUGCAGUGUACCCGCGGCAAGACGGAAAGACCCCGUGAACCUUUACUAUAGCUUGACACUGAACAUUGAGCCUUGAUGUGUAGGAUAGGUGGGAGGCUUUGAAGUGUGGACGCCAGUCUGCAUGGAGCCGACCUUGAAAUACCACCCUUUAAUGUUUGAUGUUCUAACGUGGACCCGUAAUCCGGGUUGCGGACAGUGUCUGGUGGGUAGUUUGACUGGGGCGGUCUCCUCCUAAAGAGUAACGGAGGAGCACGAAGGUUGGCUAAUCCUGGUCGGACAUCAGGAGGUUAGUGCAAUGGCAUAAGCCAGCUUGACUGCGAGCGUGACGGCGCGAGCAGGUGCGAAAGCAGGUCAUAGUGAUCCGGUGGUUCUGAAUGGAAGGGCCAUCGCUCAACGGAUAAAAGGUACUCCGGGGAUAACAGGCUGAUACCGCCCAAGAGUUCAUAUCGACGGCGGUGUUUGGCACCUCGAUGUCGGCUCAUCACAUCCUGGGGCUGAAGUAGGUCCCAAGGGUAUGGCUGUUCGCCAUUUAAAGUGGUACGCGAGCUGGGUUUAGAACGUCGUGAGACAGUUCGGUCCCUAUCUGCCGUGGGCGCUGGAGAACUGAGGGGGGCUGCUCCUAGUACGAGAGGACCGGAGUGGACGCAUCACUGGUGUUCGGGUUGUCAUGCCAAUGGCACUGCCCGGUAGCUAAAUGCGGAAGAGAUAAGUGCUGAAAGCAUCUAAGCACGAAACUUGCCCCGA
rnacentral:rRNA from 1 species